rnacentral:sRNA from 1 species
GCUGGGCAUGGUGGCACACGCCUGUAAUCCCAGCAGCUCUGGAGGCUGAGGCAGGAGAAUCUCAGGUUCAAAGUCAGCCUCAGCAACUUGGCAAGGCUGUAAGCAACCUAGUGAGACCCUGUCUCAA